rnacentral:rRNA from 1 species
AGCGAACGCUGGCGGCAGGCCUAACACAUGCAAGUCGAACGAACUCUUCGGAGUUAGUGGCGGACGGGUGAGUAACACGUGGUAACGUGCCUUUUGGUUCGGAAUAACUCAGGGGAACUUGUGCUAAUACCGAAUGUGCCCUUCGGGGGAAAGAUUUAUCGCCAUUAGAGCGGCCCGCGUCUGAUUCGCUAGUUGGUGAGGUAACGGCUCACCAAGGCGACGAUCAGUAGCUGGUCUGAGAGGAUGACCAGCCACACUGGGACUGAGACACGGCCCAGACUCCUACGGGAGGCAGCAGUGGGGAAUCUUGCGCAAUGGGCGAAAGCCUGACGCAGCCAUGCCGCGUGAAUGAUGAAGGUCUUAGGAUUGUAAAAUUCUUUCACCGGGGACGAUAAUGACGGUACCCGGAGAAGAAGCCCCGGCUAACUUCGUG